CAGGGAGACAACAAAAUGUUUAAUAUUAUUAUUUUGUCACCUUAGGUCGAUCGGUACCUCACAUUUUUAAUUUAUUAAAAAUUUCAUUUCCUAAGUUUUUCUAGGUCACACCCAUUAUUUUCCUGGGCCAUUAGCUCAGGUGGUUAGAGCGCACCCCUGAUAAGGGUGAGGUCCCUGGUUCAAGUCCAGGAUGGCCCAUAUCUCUAUGUUGGGGGUAUAGCUCAGUUGGUAGAGCGCCUGCUUUGCAAGCAGGAUGUCAGCGGUUCGAGUCCGCUUACCUCCACUGAUUACCACCUCUUCCAUAAAAUGUAGAAGGGAAAUGUUUUGAGUUGUGAUCACUUUCUGAACGAAUCUAGCUUCCUAAUGUAAUCAUUAAGAUGCUGGACUCAUUGAAUUAAUUUCAUUGAUUUCAGAGAACCUUGACAACUGCAUAGAUUAUUUUUAAAGACAAUAAGCAUCUUUAAUGAUGCAGAUUUAUUAUUUGUGCGAAUGCAUUAAUAACAAUUCUAUUAAGCUGAUGCUUCAAUUUUGAAGUUAUU
rnacentral:tRNA from 1 species